rnacentral:rRNA from 1 species
AGGAAGGUAGUGUAGUUAACACCUGCACUAUUUGACGUUACCUACAGAAGAAGCACCGGCUAACUCCGUGCCAGCAGCCGCGGUAAUACGGAGGGUGCGAGCGUUAAUCGGAAUUACUGGGCGUAAAGCGCAUGCAGGCGGCCUGUUAAGUCAGAUGUGAAAGACCCGGGGCGUUAACCUCGGAAUUGCAUUUGAAACUGGCAGGCUAGAGUCUUGUAGAGGGGGGUAGGAAGUUUCAGGUGUAGCGGUGAAAUGCGUAGAGAUCUGAAGGAAUACCAGUGGCGAAGGCGGCCCCCUCGGACAAAGACUGACGCUCAGAUGCGAAAGCGUGGGGAGCAAACAGGAUUAGAUACCCUGGUAG